CAGAGUUCAUGCCCUAACGGGUAGAUCCCCCACCCUUGUGUAAUAUAAAUAUCUGUUGCUUUGGCGGGUCGCGAGCCCACCCUCGCCCUGUGUACCCGCCAGAGGACCAAUAAACUCUGAAUGUUAGUGUCGUCUGAGUACUAUAUAAUAGUUA
rnacentral:misc_RNA from 1 species